UACGGAGGGUGCAAGCAUUAAUCGGAUUUACUGGGCGUAAAGGGCGCGUAGGCGGGCCUGCAAGUCAAAUGUGAAAUCCCGGAGCUCAACUUCGGAACGGCAUUUGAAACUGCAAGUCUAUAGAGGGAUGGCGGAGAAAACGGAAUUCCACGUGUAGCGGUGAAAUGCGUAGAUAUGUGGAAGAACACCUGUGGCGAAGGCGGCCCUCUGGUCCAGUACUGACACUCAAGUGCGAAAGCGUGGGGAGCAAACAGG
rnacentral:rRNA from 1 species